rnacentral:rRNA from 1 species
GCUCAGAUUGAACGCUGGCGGAUGCUUUACACAUGCAAGUCGAACGGCAGCACGGAUUUCGGUCAUGGCGAGUGGCUAAACGGGUGAGUAAUGUAUCGGAACGCCUAGUGGGGAUAACUACGCGAAAGUUGUAAAGCUUGUAUUACUCGUACGCCGCCCUCGGGGAAAGCGGGGACCUUCGGGGCCUCGCACUAUUAUUAGAGCAUGUUGAUAUCGGAUUAGCUAGUUGGUGGGGUAACGGCUCUCACCAAGGCGACGAUCCGUAGCUGGUUUGAGAGGACGACCACCACACUGGGACUGAGACACGGCCCAGACUCCUGCACGGGAGGCAGCAGUGGGAAUUUUGGACAAUGGGGGAACCCCGAUCCGCUUCAUCCCGCGUGUGCGAUGAAGGCCUUCAAGCCGGGGAAGCACUUUUGGCAGGUAUAAGAAACGGCACGGGACACACCGUGCAACUGACGUUCGCAGAACAAGUUACCCGCUAACUACGCCAGCAGCCAGGUAAUACGUAGGGUGCAAGGCGUUGUUCUGAAAUUCAUUGGGCGUAAAAGCGGGCGUAGCGGUUCGGAAAGAAAGAUGUGAAAAUCCCAGAGCUUAACUUUGAAUCCAUUUUUAACUACCGAGCUAGAGAGUGUGUCAGAGGGAGGGAACCGCGUAGCAGUGAAAUGCGCAGAUAUGCGGAGGAACACCACGGCGAAGGCAGCCCUGGGAUAACACUGACGCUCAUGCACGAAAGCGGGGAGCAACAGGAUUUCGACACUUGGCAGUCCAAUGCCUAAACGAUGUCAAUCUGCUGUUGGGGCCUUCUUGGGCCUUUGGUAGCGCAGCUAAUGCGUGAAGUUGACCCGCCUGGGGAGGCCGGUCAAGAUUAAAACCUCAAAGGAAUUGACGGGGACCUGCACAAGCGGUGGAUGAUGAUUAAUUCUGACGCAACGCGAAAACCUUACCUACUCCUUGACAUGUCUAAAUCCCGAAGAGAUUUGGGGAGUGCUCGCAGAGAACCGGAACACAGGUGCUGUGCAUGGUCGUGUCAGCUCGUGUCGUGAGAUGUUGGGUUAAGUCCCGCAACGAGCGCAACCUUUGUCAUUAGUUGCUACGAAAGGGCACGACGAGACUGCUGCGACAAACCGGAGGAAGGUGGGGAUGACGUCAAGUCCUCAUGGCCCUUAUGGGUAGGGCUUCACGUCAUACAAUGGUCGACAGUGGUCGCUAACCCGCGAGGGGGAGCUAAUCCUAGAAACCUGAUCAGUAGUCCGGACGUAGUCUGCACCUGACUGCGUAGUCGGAAUCGCUAGUAAUCGCGGAUCAGCAUGUCGCGGUGAAUACGUUCCCGGGUCUUGUACACACCGCCCGUCACACCAUGGGAGUGGGUUUUACCAGAAGUAGUUAGCCUAACCGUAAGGGGAGUGGCGAUUAACAUGGUAGGAUUCAUGACUGGUGAAGUCAUUAAGGUAG